rnacentral:tRNA from 1 species
GGCAUUGUGGCUCAGAGGUAGAGCGCUUGCUUCACAUGCAUGAGACCCUGGGUUCGAUCCUCAGCACCA